rnacentral:rRNA from 1 species
GACAGAGGAUGCAAGCGUUAUCCGGAAUGAUUGGGCGUAAAGGCGUCUGAUAGGUGGCUUUUAAGUCCGCCGUCAAAUCCCAGGGCUCAACCCUGGACAGGCGGUGGAAACUACCAAGCUGGAGUACGGUAGGGGCAGAGGGAAAUUUCCGGUGGAGCGGUGAAAUGCGUAGGAGAGUCGGAAAGAACACCAACGGGCGAAAAGCACUCUGCUGGGC